rnacentral:rRNA from 1 species
UACGUAGGGAGCGAGCGUUAUCCGGAUUUAUUGGGUGUAAAGGGUGCGUAGGCGGUUUAAUAAGUUUGUGGUUUAAGCCCGAAGCUUAACUUCGGUUCGCCACAAAAACUGUUUUACUUGAGUAUGGUAGAGGCAAGUGGAAUUUCUAGUGUAGCGGUUAAAUGCGUAGAUAUUAGGAGGAACACCAGUGGCGAAGGCGAGUUGCUGGGCCAUUACUGACGCUGAGGCACGAAAGCGUGGGGAGCAAAUA